ensembl:lncRNA
UAAACAAUUUCUGGAGGUACUUUUCUAGGUACUAGAGAGAGAGCAGUGAAUGAAACAGUCACGGUCUUGGAACUCAGGAGCUUAUAUUCUGAUGGAGGAAAUAUAAACAAACAAAUCAGAUAGUGAUAUGUGCGAUGAAGGAAUUGAGACACAGUGUGAAGGAGAGGGUGGGGGAGGCCGCUGUUCACAGGGUGGUCAGAUUUCCCCUCUGAGGAGGUGGCACUUGAGCCUGAUAACCCGACCGAUGAGAAGGCACCAGUUGUGGGAAGAUCUGGGACUGGGGCGUUCUGCUCUAAGCGUUGUUGUAUGUGGGGAAGGACUGCUGCAAGCGGGGGGAGUUUCUACAGGUAGUUCUGAGGGUCUGCUAUGUGCCAGGUGCUGUGCUAGCAAUUGAAAACGUGGCAGUGAAUAAUACAGCUGCAGUCUUGUCUUCCCUCGUGGAUCUUACAGUCUAGGUGAUUCUGGAAGAGCUGGAGCCUUUGAAGAAACACCUUUUGACGAUGACAUCAGACCAAAGGUUCUUUCUUACUGGGGAAAUGAGGAAGAUUGGGACAUACUUGAACCCAGAUCUGAUUGAUGAGAAAGAACCAGCCAUGUGAUGAUCUGGGCAAGAGCGUUUCAGGUGGAAGGGUCAGCAGGUGCAAAAGCCCUGAGAAAGUUCGCUGGUUUCUGCAAAGAAAACGGGCAAGAAUGAAAGCAGGAGGGGAUGUGCUUUCCAACUCACCAUGGUCUUCACCAGCCUGCUUUGUUCCCACCUGGCCCUGUAAGCGUC